UAGGGAAUAUUGGUCAAUGGGCGCAAGCCUGAACCAGCCAUGCCGCGUGCAGGAUGAAGGCCCUCUGGGUUGUAAACUGCUUUUAUAUGGGAAUAAAAAAACCCUUGCGAGGGUUCUUGAAGGUACCAUAAGAAUAAGCACCGGCUAACUCCGUGCCAGCAGCCGCGGUAAUACGGAGGGUGCAAGCGUUAUCCGGAUUUACUGGGUUUAAAGGGUGCGUAGGCGGCCUUUUAAGUCAGUGGUGAAAGCCUAGUGCUUAACACUAGAACUGCCAUUGAAACUGAAAGGCUUGAGUCAAGGAGAGGUAAGCAGAAUUUAUGGUGUAGCAGUGAAAUGCUUAGAUACCAUAAGGAAUACCAAUAGCGUAGGCAGCUUACUGGCCUUGUACUGACGCUGAGGCACGAAAGCGUGGGGAGCAAACAGG
rnacentral:rRNA from 1 species